CGAUGCUUCACCCAGACCAUUGCACAUCAUCACAUCAGAGAGGAAGACACAUGUGUGAUUCAUUUUCUUAAGCCUCAAGUCUAAGGAUUUACCUAAGGACCCAGGAAUGUCAUGAGGUCCUGUUUCCUCCUUUUACUUAAAAACCUCACCUUCGUGUGAAAUAACCUGCUAUUUUGCCAAACCGGUCUGUCAGUAUAAGGAAGCCUGGGAAUGCCUGAGGGGACCUAUAGAAAUCAUUGUGCAUCCGUGAGGAAGGUGUCGGAACCACGCGGCUCUGAGGGCAUGGGGAGAAAACAUUCUGUGAACCGUUUGGACUCCAAAGCUUGAAGAAAAGUUUCUCAACAGCCUGCAUCUGCUACCAAAGUUUUCAUGUUGCACGAGCCAGUAUUAAACGUCAGUGAAUUACAGCUUUUUGGUGCACUAACCUUAACUUUAAGACAUUUACCAAAGGAGUUCUAAUCACUGGAGCCCAGGGGAAACAUUAGUAUUAUAAUCUAUACUGCAGCCCAGUAUUGAAAACUUUAUUAGCAUGCGGGAUGAUAUAUCAAGAUCUGUAAAAAAAAAAAUGAAUCAUUUUCGCAAUUUGUCUUUGCAACCAUUAAAACUUUCUAUAAACAUAGAUCUAUGCAUCCAAUAAAGAGCAUCCAAUAUGAUGCUUUUUGUAUGCUCAGAUAUUUCAAAAUUUAGGAUAACAGUGGUAGUGGCAAUGAAACUGAUAUCUAUGUUCCUUGUUCUGCCCCCCGUCGGGCAUAGAGAAAUAUCUGUUUUUAGCCACCAGGUUCCAUGCUAGAUGCCAUGUAAAAAAAAGAUUAUGGAUCAGAUCUCAUUGCCUCUCUUCUUCCCUUCCUGCUUCCUUGUCUUCUUUCCUCUCCUCAGGUAGAUGCAGUCAAAAGCGUAUGUAGGUGUACUUCUGGUUUUUCUAAGCCUUUGUACAAAUACAUUAUUUUUUUCUGAAAACCUUUUCAUUGGCAACAAACCCUAAGAAAGUAGGUGACUCCACAGCCCAGAAAUAGUGGUUACAACACCACUUUCUUGUGCAAAAAUCUUCUUUUCGCGAAUCCGAGUGCUCGGUAUUCUAACGUUAGGGUUUUUAUCCAAUUAGUUUAUUUGUUAAAUAUUUUUUAAUGUUUGUUUAUUGUUGAGAGAGAGAAAGAGAGGGCGUGAGCAGGGGAGGGGCAGAGAGAGAGGGAGACACAGAAUCCGAAGCAGGCUCCAGGCUCUGAGCUGUCAGCACAGAGCCCAAUGGGGGGCUUGAACUUGACAACCGUGAGCUCAUGACCUGACCUGAAGUGGAACGCUUAACCGAAUGAGCCACCCAGGCGCUCCUUGCCUUCCUUUGAAUUACUAGCCUUGGCACUAUGGAUUUAAACACGAAAUGGACUGGCAGGGUCAGAGUCGUGUAUUGGAGUGUCUGUUAAUUUAGAUGCUGUGUGAUGUUGAAGCUGAACCACAUGACACUGAGCCCCUCAGAAUAGAUGGUGUAUAUAUACUAACGAGCUCAUUGGAUGCUUAAUGUGGGGAAGACAUGAUCAUAAAUGGGAAUACAGCCAAAUGAACAUAUAACACCGAAAGUUUGGCAAUGCAAGGAACAGUUAUCCGGGGCCAAGAGUGAGAAAACAGAUGGGUACUCGGACUAGACCACCCAGGCGGGCACAGCCAAGGUGCUCAUCACGGUGGUGUGGAUGAUUGUCCAGUCAACUCCCACCUCCUGCUCUCCUUGUGAAAGAUCUUGGGUGAGAGAGGGUCCAGAUACAGGAGGCAGAAGGUCAUCAGUAGAGACACUCCAGUGGGGUCGCCCUGAAGCUAACUUGUUCCCAGUUGAGAUGACUUUCCGAGAGGUUGUUCGAGGAAAUAAUUUGGGCGUUUAGUUUACCUUGGAGAGAUCUGAGGGCCUAGUUGAAGAGAGGAGCCAAAUGCAUUAAGAUUAGAUUCUGCUGAGGUGGCAGAAACCUCACCAUAACAGUGGCCUAAUAAAAACUCUAUUAUUAUUCAUAUAAAAGAUGAAGAGAUGUGUCAAUCUGGAGCUGAUAUCUUGUUCUACGAUGUCAGGCACCCGGUCUCCUUCUACCUUGUUGAGCAUGUGGCUUCUACCAUGGGACACAAGGUGGUUGCUCAAGCCCCUGACAUCACAUCUUUCCAGAAGCAGAGAAGGGGAGAAGGGAAAGAAGGGCAUGCCCCCUCCCAUUAAACACAGUUCUAGAUGGCGCCCACAGCCCUCCCUGCAGUUGCACACCUAUCCAGGAUUACUCAGAAUCCUGACAUGUCCAGCCCCCAAAUUAGAAGUUCUUCUUGUCAAAGAACAAGGGGAGAAAGGAUUUAUUUUGUAGUAUAGCCAUCAGUCUUUGCCACUUGAGGGCAGACAAGAGGAAGGUCUUGAAGUUCUGUGAGUCGAUAGGGUUGGGCUUCCAGGGCUGGUCACUCCAGAUCUGUAACUCGGGCACUACCAGGAAGUGCUGUACGCUUGUGGGGUGAAGACAAGGUGGGGGCGCGUUGGAGAGGCAGCUCGUUUCCCGAGGCCCAUGCCCAUGCGUACAAGCACCAUGGGAUAGACCCACCAUGUGGACCAGCGACAUCUCCUGACACAUGCCCCUCACAACAGCACUUCUGCAAAAUGGUAGAAGGCCUGACUCAAAAGUUGGGGUUCUAAAAUAAUUCUGUGCAGUGUCACUUUAUAGACGUGAAGCAGGCCUCUUUAUGGUGAGAAGUCUCAGGACCUUUAGUGUGGACGAUAGCGUGUUGUGGAACUCCAAGGGUAGGAUCGGGCCUGUGGUGUCCUCCCUCCCUCCACCCACAGUGCAUCUCCAGGAUCCUGGGGUGCCCACCCGUGGACUCAGAGACCCACAGGACAAGAGACUCUGCAGGUGAAUCUCCUGGUGCUGUCUCUGGCGAUGUGAGUAACAGCAGACUGGUGCUGCAUGAGGAGAUUGGGGGAGGGGCAGCAAAGGGAGCGAAAGAUGCCGAAGUUCAAGUUGAAAAAGGAAGAAGUGAUUUGCAAUCUGGAUGCGAUAGCAAAGGCAUGGGGAUUAAAGUGGAAACUCUCAAGUAGGACAGGUGUGACAAGAAUUCUGAUUGAUCCUCCUCCCAGGAUGGCAGAGAGAGAGGACCUGAUUGUUAUGACCCAAACGAAGAUCAGCAAUGGAUUCAAAGCAAUAGGAGAGGGAGCGCUCCAUGUGUAACCUGCAGGCCGACCAUGAGAUAAGGAUAGCUUGAGAAAGCCAGAGUGACAUUAGACAUGUCCUUCCACACGCCUUUUAGCUAUUCUGGAUAAAGGGCUCAUCAUAGACGCUGCUUACGAGCCGAGCUUUAGCCCUCCAAAAAUAUGGAGAAUUAUCUUUCCCUCGGAUUUAAAACUUUUAUUUUAGGGAAAACGUCCCCCUUUUCCUAAAAGGUGUAGGGAAAAUAAACUUCCAGAGGAGGAGUCGGUGGUGGUGGUGUUCAUAUGCGAUGGGGAAGUGGGAGUGGCCUUCCCCGUGUCCCCUCUUCUCUAUGUGGGUUUCUCCACAUUAUCUGCUAUAUGGAGACAAGUCUAUGUCUUUGCAAACCCCAUCUUUGAGGGGUGGAGAGACAGAGAAGGAGGGACAAGAAAAGGAGGGUGAGAAAAUAUCAUUUUUCUCUUGCAGCAUCUAUCCCUACCCCUUCACCGCCCCCCUGCUCUGUCACUUCUGGCUCUAUCUUUCCACAAUUACUGAAAUUCACUCAUUUGAUACAACCUUCUGGAUGCCCCUUCUCCCUCUCCAUUUUUGGGGUUCCUUCUGUAUUUUGACUUCACAACAGAAAUCAGAGCUCGGCUACUGGCUUUUUUAGAUGUUGAGAGCACACAGUCAGUGCUCCCCAGUGGAGCCUCGUCCAUGGUCCAGGCUGGGGCUGGGGUGCACGUUCUGGGCUGUGAUUGAGGAUCAAAUGGCGGGUCUGCUGGCAGGUGCUAGGUAGGGGAGGCUUGAAGUUCAUGUGCAUGCACACUCUCCCCGUUAUCUUAAGCCUCCUUCAAGCUGCCUUUCAUUUAUUUUAACCUGAUUUUACUGGAACAAAUAUGCUCAAAGAUCGAGUUAGGGGUGGAGACAAAGUACUGCUAAUUCUCCCUUCCCUCUGCCCAUCAAGCUAACCAGUCACUUUGUGCAGCUCAGCAGAGUGGAACUGAAAAUUCCUUACCCUUGUUUGUCUCCAUACCCGUUGGAAUUUAAAAUAGAGAGCAAAGGUAGUUUCUGAGAGAGCCUCUCCUUUCCAUAUUUGAAGAUUAGCAGCACGGUGUGUAUUUCUAGCAGGACUUGGUAUGACCUAAGCGAUGCUCCCAGCACUCCCCUAGAGGCACUAUUCUGUGCGCAAGCCCAUCUCACAUGGUAUAUGAUAACUUGUCCCCAGUGCUACAGAAAACUGAGAGGGAAGAGUGAGAGAAUCCACUCAUGCAUAAUUGAAGUCUAGGCAGAUAUUUAUUGGAUUCAUAAGCCUGAGUUAUUGACAAAGAGAAGGGGGAAAUAGCAGAAUUGUCAGUGGCAUCAAUAAUCUGUGCCAAAGGGUAGCAGCACCUACGUAUUUCAGGAGGGCAAUACAAAAGGCACACACGUCCAGCGCAGGAAGACAUUCAGUAAGCUCUGGCCAGGGCAGCUCGAACAAAUCUAUACUAAAUCCCCAGCUUGAAAAGCUCACACUGAGACUUGAUAAAUGUGCCACUUUAUUUCUCUGAGUGGUGUAUUCCAUAUGCGGCCAAACACUUCAACACUUCAGACCACAUCCUUUCUGAUUUUAGAAUUUUUCCCAACAAGAGUGCGUUUUAAAACCUGAACUCUUGGAUGCAGGAAGAAAACUUUUGUGGACAGACCAAGCAGAAUGUUCAGCUGGCCGUGGCUGCGGGGAAGGAAGACAAUAUAGGCAUUUACAGGCUGGGCCUUCUGGAAUCCUCGUUGAGAAGUGUUGGAUGUGGGCUCCGGAGAGGUCUGCCCACCUCCCCAUCCUUACACUGUGCUGCAGCCCCUUUCAAAUAUCACACGUGAGCAGCAACAGAAAGCUUCUUUCUUUCCCUGAAUGGGAGAAGUUAGCCUUAAGUUUUGUGCUUUGUAUCGAGCGGGGCGCUUUAUUUUUUUAUUUUUACUUUUGAUCGUCCCAAAUUAAGUGUUUUGAAAUCAACUGACAUUCCGUACCCCACCCCCACCCAUGCCUUUCUUGGCAGCAAUUAAUUUUUUGGUCUGGAAUACUUUCAAAACCUAUGGAGAACUAACUUCCACGAGCCACUUGGUUUUCAAUCAUAAAUGUCAGAUACAUAAACAACGCGUGUAGCACUGUCUCACAUAACACAAUUAAAAGAUGUAAAUACAGGGUCUUUCAGUCAAAUCAACUGUGCAAAUAAAUACACUGUGGAAUGUGUUACAUAUGUGCAUCUUUAAGGUUAUAAACACACACAUCUGUUUAAACCCUGUGUGUACGAAGUUUGCACACAAGUAAAAGUUGGCGAUACUACUUUUUCUUCCUCACCCUGUUAAAACAAAAGUGCAUUUGUGUGUCAAAAAAUCGAGUGCAAUCUAAAAAUGAUGUGUAUUUCCACCGCGUGUUUUUAUAUAAAAUGAAAUUACCCAUCGUA